ensembl:lncRNA
AACCUGUGAUGUCAUCCCUCCCUGAAGACAUCGAGCCCGGGACACACGUCGCUGUCCAAUGCUCAGUCAACCACACAUGCUCUUCUCACCCUCCUGAAAUCACCUGGAGCGUCCCAACAGAUCGAGAAACUAUCAGCCACAAUCAUAUGGGGGGAGGCGUCUGGGAAACAGUGUCUGGUGUGACCUUUAUUCCAACUGGAUAUGAAGAGAAAGAUGAAAUUGUCUGCACUGCCAAAUUUUGGGGCGGUAAAACACAGGAAAAUACAGCCUUCCUCAGCAUUAGAAGAUUGCAAAGGCUUAAAUUGGAGGAUGUCGGGCUGUAUGCCGUAGUUCCCUCACUGGUGUUCAUCCUCAUUUUCGUGCUUGCUGGAGUUUUAAUAUGCAGGAGAUGGCACAGUCGUUUUAGUAUGCCUGAAGGAAGAGUAGCUUGGACUAACAGAGGAAACAGGAGUGAUAUCGGUUCUGUUCCUUUGUAGGGUAUCAGACCCGAACCAGACAAAUUAAAGAUUCGAUCGGGAGCAUGGUUGAAACAUAAGGAGCCGAAUUCCACAGAAAGGCUCAAGACAACAGGAUGUUGUAAAUAAGUUCCUAGCACCACAAGUCGGAAGCAAGUACACUAACCAGCAGCUUGAACAGCUUUCAACAUUANNNNNNNNNNNNNNNNNNNNNNNNNNNNNNNNNNNNNNNNNNNNNNNNNNNNNNNNNNNNNNNNNNNNNAACGAAUACCAGUCCAUUGCUUAACUCCAUAUCAUAUAUGUAACCAACACAUUAGACUAUCAUGUUUCAAAUCACUUAUUGUGUAUGUCUUUUAAUAACUACUGAAUAGCUUAAGGAUUCAUAUUCAUGUUUAGUAUUUGUGUGUGUUUGAAUCGUCUUGCUUGAAACAUUUCUGACAAUCAAUUAUUUGUCAAAUGUAUCAUGUUUUUGUUAUAGGAAUCAUGUCCAAAAUUAUACCCUGCAAGAGCGGGAAAAUUCGGACCACGUGAUUGAUAAGAUAACAUAUGAUUUAUGAAUGGGUAGGACAAACAUCGCAACACCCGAGCAAAGACAAUAUCUAAUUGGUCAAGACAACAUUUGAGGUGUGCCCAAAAGGCCAGUUUAAAUACUCAGGACACCAUCAAAUUUUGGCUUUUAGCUUUUGCUUUUUAGGUUUUGCUUUUAGUCAUGACAGCUCUUAGCUUUUGCUUUUAAUCAUCACUUUUAGCGUUCUUUGAGCGCUGUUCCAGCGUGCUUCGGCCUGCACGCCUGCUGCUACUUAGCCACGAUGAGAAGAAUCACCACCUAGUCUCGUCAAACUUUACUUCUAUUCUUUUACUUUCGUUUCUUUUCUUUUCCGUUUGAGAGUUUCGUGUUCUGAGUUAAGUUUUGUAACGCUGUGUCUCCGAGUCUGACCUCGAGUGCCCGUCUGAAACUACAACCAGCCCACAACUCCGCAUCGUCAGCCAACGCCCAACCACGGGCUUCCCAAGACGUCACGUCAAUGACUACUGAACUUCCAGCCAAUCAGCAACCUCGGGAAACCCCCUUUUCAAUGACAACAAAGGGAACCCCCUUUACACAGGCAACACAAGUAACGUACCUCCAGACUGAGCUAAACUGGUGUAUAUAAUAUAAUUUUAACCUCAUUGAGGAACUCAAUGCGAGGGUUAAUUAAGUGACUGAUGGUUGUUCAUUUCUAUGCAAUUUGACGUAUUGCUGUAAACUUAGGAUUUCACAUUUUCAUUCUCUUAAACUCAUUCUUUUCUAACCUUCUCUCUUUCUGCAACUUGUGUGAAUGUGUAAGUGUGUGCUUACGUGUUAGAUUAGUUUAUAUGUCUUAGGUUUAUCUAAUAAAGCCUUAUUCAUAUUGAAAAGAGAAGUAUCU